UCUAGCUCUCUAGUCUAGACUCGUGCUGGCAUCUCCAAUCUUCGUUCCGUGAAUUUUAGUGGGUUAAGAGAGAAAUAGUUUCUAUUUUAGUUGAUACAUUCAAAUUUAAUAUUUAUUUACUGGCUAGUCGUAGCUAAAGGAAGUUGGGUGACGUGUCGAUGGCUAGACGACCUCCGACAUGAGCCGCUCACUCCUGGCAGUCUGCCUUCUGCUCUGCACAAUGUCCAUGAUCUGUCUCGUGUUUGGCUUCCAGGCAGGCCCUGAUACGGAAGACGACGAGAUGGAUGAAGAUGGAUUCUUCGAUGAAGGCAACGAGGGCAUGGACCGAAAGGCAGAAACGGACGUGAGGCAACUGGGCCAAGGAAGAGGGAGGAAGAGGCAAUCAGGGUGUAGUCACUAUGAGGACAGAGAUCUUCCAAGUUUUUUUGUCGAACUUUUCACAAUGAGAAAAUGUUGGAACUGACUCUCAAAACGGAAUGUCUUCGCUGAGCAAGAAAUAAAAGUAACAUUGUCAGCUUGACGCGAACAAAUAUUGGACUUAGAACAGAGAAAUAGAUUGAAAUAAUAGAGAAAUAGAUUGAAAUAAUAAAGCUUGCCUAACAACAUCAA